rnacentral:rRNA from 1 species
AUUGAACGCUGGCGGCAGGCCUAACACAUGCAAGUCGAGCGGAUGAAGAGAGCUUGCUCUCUGAUUUAGCGGCGGACGGGUGAGUAAUGCCUAGGAAUCUGCCUGGUAGUGGGGGAUGACGUUCCGAAAGGAACGCUAAUACCGCGUACGUCCUACGGGAGAAAGCAGGGGACCUUCGGGCCUUGCGCUAUCAGAUGAGCCUAGGUCGGAUUAGCUAGUUGGUGAGGUAAUGGCUCACCAAGGGGACGAUCCGUAACUGGUCUGAGAGGAUGAUCAGUCACACUGGAACUGGGACACGGUCCAGACUCCUACGGGAGGCAGCAGUGGGGAAUAUUGGACAAUGGGCGAAAGCCUGAUCCAGCCAUGCCGCGUGUGUGAAGAAGGUCCUCGGAUUGUAAAGCACUUUAAGUUGGGAGGAAGGGCAGUAAGUUAAUACCUUGCUGUUUUGACGUUACCGACAGAAUAAGCACCGGCUAACUUCGUGCCAGCCGCCGCGGUAAAAC